AUUCAAAAAGUGCCGAAUCCAAAAGGUACGGAGGAACCGUUUUUGGGGUGAAUCUGAAUUAACAGUAGGGAUUAUCCUUCUCCCGAACCCGUCAGCUAACUCCGGAGGCAUGGGAAGGAGAAAAG
rnacentral:sRNA from 1 species